rnacentral:rRNA from 1 species
AUUGAACGCUGGCGGAAUGCUUUACCCAUGCAAGUCGAGCGGCAGCACGGGGGCAACCCUGGUGGCGAGCGGCGAACGGGUGAGUAAUACAUCGGAACAUGCCCAGUCGUGGGGGAUAACACUUCGAAAGAAGUGCUAAUACCGCAUACGUCCUGAGGGGGAAAGCGGGGGAUCGCAAGACCUCGCGCGAUUGGAGUGGCCGAUGUCAGAUUAGCUAGUUGGUGGGGUAAAGGCCUACCAAGGCAACGAUCUGUAGCUGGUCUGAGAGGAUGAUCAGCCACACUGGGACUGAGACACGGCCCAGACUCCUACGGGAGGCAGCAGUGGGGAAUUUUGGACAAUGGGGGCAACCCUGAUCCAGCCAUUCCGCGUGAGUGAAGAAGGCCUUCGGGUUGUAAAGCUCUUUCGGCAGGAACGAAACGGUGAGCUCUAACAUAGCUUGCUAAUGACGGUACCUGAAGAAGAAGCACCGGCUAACUACGU